AAGCACACGUACCGACCUCAACACCGAAUUAACUCAGCCAAAGCAGGCCUCAGAGCCACAGGUGAUAUUACAGAAACCUUAGCAAGGGCUUCGGCCUUCCCCAGGACACAGACAUGACCUGGCACUUUUAGUGCAAUGAGGAGCGGGAGACCACAGGCAGAGUGAGCAACCAUCCAGGUUUUCCAGGACCAACGGGUUUCACAAGAUGCGGGACUUUCAGGGCUAAAACCAGGAAAGUUCCCAGCAAACUGGGGAGAGUUGAUCCCUGUAAACAGCCACCACCUGGGUCAGAUGGACCCCAGCUGGAGGCCAGACUGGGUCUUUACACACUUGCCCUGAGUUAGCGCUCACAUUAAAGGAAUAAUGGGGGGUGGACACCAUUCCCUCCACUUCACAGAGGAGGAAACUGAGGCUGAGAGAAGUCCGUCAACUUGCACAGGACCACACUGCCAGCGAGUGACAGAGCGAGGAUUUGAGCCCAAGGCCCGUGCUCUUAAGCUGUGUGUUGUCACGUGGUAUCCGGAGGAUCCUCGACUUGUCAAAAACUGAAAUCAACACCCUCAACAGCCUUACUCUGUGCCCCGGUCCAGGGCCUGGCCCAGGAGUCCCCUUGCUUUCUGUAGCCCUCUCUGCAUUCCUACCAAUGCCUUUGCCUGCCUAGGACCACCCCCUGCCUGUAGGUCGCAGUAGCCCUCUGCCACCCUUCCCACGUAUCAGCCUGGCAGAGCCCUGUGGAAUUUCAUCACACAAGCCCCUCUGGAUUCAGAAGAAUCACAAAUGCUGCCUGGUUGCUGUUCUCAGCCCCCUCCCCACUGUGUCCCUGUCCCAAACACCCCCUGACCCUCCGCCAAGCCUGCAGGCAGCACCUCCCUCGUCUGCUCCUCCCUCAGGAAACAGCAUUUCCCGCCCAGCCUGGGGAUUUCCAAGCUGGAAAUUCAAACAGCUCAGCACGGAAUAGGCUCCAACAGGGUCAGGUAAUGGAAAUUACAAGAUGGUAAAUUAUUCCAGGGAAAGGGCAAUUUUCCUCAUAUGCUGCCUGACUCUGAGAACACUGUGAUCAUGGUGGAAAUUGGAGGGUCAGAGCUGGUGUCUAGGGAAAGAGAAAGGAAGGCACUGUGCCCGCCGCUGUCAGUGAAGCCCCAGGUGUGAGAGAGGGUGUGAGGUCAAUCCCAGGCUGGGCCCACAGCCAGGCACGUCCUCGCUAGAGGCCCAGGACCUGCCACCAGCCACAGCUGAAGAGGCUGGGGCGUCAAGGCAGAAAGCCAACAUCCCGGAGUCAUACAAGUGCACGUUCUCUUCCCAGCUCUGGCACAUACCAGCUGUGUGACCUUAGGAAGGCCAAAGCUCCCUCUGAGCCGAGCUCUAAAGACAUUUUUUACUGUUUAGAAGCCUUUGAUUCCUUUACUUCCCAGCAACUGGCUGAGUUCCCAGGGCUGAAGUUGCCUUGAAGUUUGACUGCUGAAUAAGAAAAAGAGUUUUCCUCUGUUUUGUUGUUAAUCCAGAGUUUGAGCUGGGAGCAUAAAGAUUUCAAACAUACCAAAUAGGAUUUCUUCAACUAGAUUGUUUUGGAAAAUACAAAUAUGAGAUCUGAGAAGGACAGAUACAAAAGAAAAAGAAGUCUCAGUUCCAGGCUAAGGUGGACGGAAAGGGGGUGCCCUAAGGAGGCUCGAACCUGAGACAGUCUGAACCAGAAAAACCUCCCCUAGAGUUUGGGGGCUGGCGUGCAGCUGCUCACAUUUUUAUCUUGCUAAAUUAAGAAUAUAAAAUAAGAACCACUGGAUAAGAUCACCCUUAUUUUAGAAAAGAGAGGGGAAAAGUCAACCAAAAAAGCUGUUUUUUUUUUAAAUUAAAGGGAUUUAACUUU
rnacentral:lncRNA from 10 species